rnacentral:lncRNA from 1 species
UGUCCGUACCCCACGGGACCACAUUUUGGGGUGUAACCGUUUUCGGGUGACCCCAUUCCAACUGUACCCCCAAGAGGUCCCCUUUUCGGGGUGUCCCCUUUUUGGGGUGUCCCCAUUUUGGGGUGUCCCCCUUUCAGGGUGUCCCCUUUUUGGGGUGCCCCCAGCCUGUGCAUACCCCCAAGAGGGGUCCCCAAUUUUUGGGGUGCCCCUACUGUGUCUGUACCCCUUGGGGGACCCCAUUUUAGGGUCCCCUUUGUGCGUGUACCCCCAUGGGGACCCCAUUUUAGGGUGUCCCCUGUCCCUUUAUACCCCCAGGAGGCCCCAUUUUGGGGUCCCCAUUCNNNNNNNNNNCCCAGACACCCCCAAUUUUGGGUUUCCCCCAGCCCCUUCAUACCCCAAGGCUCAUCCCCACACUUUUGGGGUUUCCCCAGUCUCUUGGGGAAAAAAAAACAAUUUUUGGGGGUGAGGUCCCCAAAUUUUCGGGGACAAGUCCCCAAAUUUUCGGGGAGAAGUCCCCAAUUUUUCAAGGAGAAGCCCCCAAAUUUUCAGGGUGAGAUCCCCAAAUUUUCGGGAUGGGAUCCCCAAAUUUUUGGGGUGUCCCCCCCCCGUUUUAGGGCUGCAUGCGCAGGGCCCCGUCCAGCCUCACCACCUCCCCGUUGAUCAUCGGGUUUUCGGCCAGCGCCUGCACCAGGUGGGCGAAUUCCCCCGGGUGCCCCAAACGGGACGGGAAGGGCACCUGCUGCCCCAAAAAGUUCCGAACCCGUUCGGGCAAACCGGCCAGCAAUGGGGUGGAGAACAACCCUAAAAGGGACAAAAAAAAGGGGGUGAGUCGGUCACCCUAUACCCUUUUCCACCCUAAAAAUAAAGGGGGUGAAGCGUUUGCCCUAUAACUUUUCCCACCCCAAAAAAAAGGGGUUGAAGCAUUUGCCCUAUAACUUUUCCCACCCCAAAAAAAAGGGGUUGAAGCAUUUGCCCUAUAACUUUUUGACCCUAAAAAAAAAAAAGGGGGUGAAGCGUUUACCCUACAACUUCUUCCACCCCAAAAAAAAAGGGAGUGAAGUGUUUGCCCCCCAACUUUUUCCACCCUAAUAAAAAAAAGGGGGUGAAAAAAAAGGGGGUGAAGCAUUUACCCUACAACUUUUCCCACCCCAAAAAAAAGGGGGUGAAACGUUGACCCUACAACUUCUUCCACCCCAAAAAAAAGGGGGUGAAACGUUGACCCUAAAACUUCUUCCACCCCCAAAAAAAGGGGGUGAAACGUUGACCCUACAACUU